UACGUAGGGGGCAAGCGUUGUCCGGAUUUAUUGGGCGUAAAGAGCGUGUAGGCGGCCAGGUAGGUCCGUUGUGAAAACUCGAGGCUCAACCUCGAGACGUCGGCGGAAACCCUCUGGCUAGAGUCCGGAAGAGGAGAGUGGAAUUCCUGGUAUAGCGGUGAAAUGCGUAGAUAUCUGGAGGAACACCGGUGGCGAAGGCGGCAUCCUGGACCAACACUGACGCUGAGUGAGCGAAAGCCAGGGGAGCAAACGGG
rnacentral:rRNA from 1 species